CUUAGUGAGAGAAGCCUGGCUAGAGCUUGGUAGCUCAGUUGGGUUCUGAUAGAGCCUCCCUGAGGGAAGAUUCCGUAAAGGAAGAUACACAAUGCUUGCUAUACAUGAUGAUUUACCAACAAGAGUACCAGAGACCAUAAACAGAAUAGCUCUGCCAGGAAGAACUCAUUAAACAGAUGUUUAAAUUGCCAGAAGACUUCACACAAGAUCUGCCAGGUGGUGUCCAUAUCAUCAUUUGACAUGGAAGUCAUGCUGAUGGCAUCCUUAAAGCAUGUCCUAAAUAUGUCAAUUGUCAUCUUCCCAUGUGGGAUACUUAAGGAAUCUCAUUCUUGAGGAGAUCAGAAAGGGGGCCACAAUGGAGGAGAACCCCAGGAUAAAGCUGCAGUAAUAGCUGUCUAGUCCCAGGAAUCGACGUACCUGCUUCAUUGAGGGUGCCAUGGGGCACAGCUGGAGAGCCUGGACUUUGCUAACCAAGGGUCGGAUUAUAUCUCUUCCCAAUGUGUACCCAAGCACCGCCAUCUUAUUGUGGUGAGGUUCUGGCAUAAUUACAUGACUGCAGGAGCUGAGGUUUUAAGAACACCACCAAAUAUCAUCGGAUAUUGAAAAGAAGUUUUCCAAGGCUGUACAAACUAUGAAAGGUCAUGGAAACUGGCUCUACAGCUUGAUGCCUGAUACUGGGGGAAAUCAGCUUGCAAAACACACGCACUCUGAAUAUCGGAUUGUUGUCAAGAAGUUUGGAGAGAAGAAGCUCAUAUAAACAAGCUCCUCAUUUUCCUUCUUACAGGAGGGGGCUGCUAACGGCAAAGGAAGCCCUGUCAACUUGAUUCCAUGAUGGUAGGGAGAGAGCCACUGGAGGGUUAAGGAGCAGAGUGGAGGUCAGAAGUUCCUGAGUGGAUGUUCUUGGCCUCCGGUGGAUCACAAAGACCUGGAAAUAUUUGGAAGUUGGAACACUUUGUCCUUACACUGCGUGGAGCAGACACCACUCCCUAAAAUGAACUAGAGGUGGUUGAAAAUUUUCAGAUCUCAAAGUUUUUCAACAAAACAGUGGGACAUAUUUUUCAAACAUUUGGAAAUAAAGAGAUGAUUUUUUUCAUACUACUAGCUCUAGGAACAAUCUUUUGGCACUCCAUGAAGAGGUCCUUCAUGGAGUUUUUUGUCCCUAUCACCUAUACCGUUCUUUUCUGUUUGUAGGAAAAAUCUAGGACUUUAUUGUUGCCACCAAAUUAAUACUGCACUAUUGAUAUUGUUUAUUAGUAACAUACUGUACACACUCUCUCUCCGCACCACUAAGGAAUUAUGGAAUAAGCAAUAGUUCAUAUUUUUAAUAAGCAAGACAGGGGAGGGAGGGCAGUCACCUUGCAUAGCCCAUUAAGCGAUAGAUUUUUUUUAAGUGAUGUGCAAGAAUUCUCCAUGUCACUCCAGCUAACAUCAACGGGAGUAUCAUAGUCCCCAGGUGUCACUUAAAGUUUUUUACCCAUAGACUUUUUUAAAAAGGGGAUGGUUGUUUUUUUUUUUUUAAUAGAAAGAAAAGAAGGGACUUCUGUGGGAUUGCAGUAAGGGCGGAAUUUGGCUGAUGAAAUUUGGAAGCCUAGUAUGUUUAGGAGGGAUCCAAGAAAUGCUCACUUCUUAAAUUCCUAACAUGACUAUUUAUUAUUUAACAUUUACAUUCUAGUAUUCG